GAUGAACGCUGGCGGCGUGCCUAAUACAUGCAAGUCGAGCGAACAGACGAGGAGCUUGCUCCUUCGACGUUAGCGGCGGACGGGUGAGUAACACGUAGGUAACCUACCUAUAAGACUGGGAUAACUUCGGAAACCGGAGCUAAUACCGGAUAAUAUUUCGAACCGCAUGGUUCGAUAGUGAAAGAUGGCUUUGCUAUCACUUAUAGAUGGACCUGCGCCGUAUUAGCUAGUUGGUAAGGUAACGGCUUACCAAGGCAACGAUACGUAGCCGACCUGAGAGGGUGAUCGGCCACACUGGAACUGAGACACGGUCCAGACUCCUACGGGAGGCAGCAGUAGGGAAUCUUCCGCAAUGGGCGAAAGCCUGACGGAGCAACGCCGCGUGAGUGAUGAAGGUCUUCGGAUCGUAAAACUCUGUUAUUAGGGAAGAACAAACGUGUAAGUAACUGUGCACGUCUUGACGGUACCUAAUCAGAAAGCCACGGCUAACUACGUG
rnacentral:rRNA from 1 species